rnacentral:rRNA from 1 species
AAAGGGUCCUGAGGUGGUUUGCUCAGUCCAGUGUGAAAGUUCAGGGCUUACCCUUGAAAAUGCGGUGGAAACUAGCAGGCUAGAGUACGGUGGGGGCAGAGGGAAUUCCCGAUGUAGCGGUGAAAUGCAUAGAUAUCGGGAAGAACACCGACGGCGAAGGCACUCUGCUGGGCCGAGACUGACACUGAAAGACGAAAGCCAGGGGAGCGAAUGGGAUUAGAUACCCUUGU